UUUUUUUUUUUUUUUUCCAGUGGGCUCUAGGCCCAACAUGAAGCUUGAACCCACAACCCUGAGGGACCAGAGUUGCAUGCUUUUACCACGUGAGCUAGCCAGGUAGUCCCCCAGUCACCUCUUUUGAAAAAAAAGAUUUUCCUAGGGCUCUUAUCACUAGCCUUUAGAAGGGUUUUAGAAUUACAUCAGAGAUGGGGUCAAAAAAUAAAUAUUAAAACAACAGAGCAUCCUAGUGCUCAUAUCACUGAAACUAUAUAAGCAUUUCAGGGACCUGUGUCUGGUAUCAAGGGAAGAAAGUAAUACAUAUUUUCUAUUAUCUCGUAGCCACCAUCAAUCAACUGGAUAGCCAUUUAUUCAACAUACACUAAGGUUGUAUUUUCUCACACCUCAAUGUACCACUUACAUCCAAGACCACUUUUAGGCUGUUCCUCAGCUAAGCAAUCAUUGCUUCUUGGAAGCCCCCCAAGAACAACUGUCGGUACAACCCUCUACCUCUUCCUCAUGCAUGGAUCUCAGGUUUGCCCUUCCUCAUCCUGUGACCACUUUGGCUCCUGACUCCCAGUUUUCCUCCUUGUCUAGAGGGAUAUCCUUGUUCUAAUUUCCAAGAAAAGGUAAAAGAGUAAGUAAAUAGGAAGUACUGGUAAGUGGUGGAAUGAGUUAGCUCUUUGUGCUUCCUCCCUAAAGUCCCUAUUAUCUAAAACAUAUUUGAAAUCUCACGGUACUGGCACUGAAUCAUUUAUCAUUUCAUUUAUGUACAAUCAAGUGCUUACUUAACCCUGAAAAAGGCAGAGAUCAUGAGCUUUGCAGUCAGUAAGAGAUGUGUUCACAUCACUUACUAGUAUGAAACCCUCAGCAGGACACUUACCUUCUCAAAACCUCAGUUUCCUUGUCUGUAAAAUAGAGAUAAUCAUUCUGACCUCACUUAGCAUAGUGCCUCAUUUAGGAUGAAGGUCAGAAAAUGUUAGCUAUUGUUAUUUACACGUGACUGUUAUUGGCAUUUAGAAGGGAUUAAAUCCUUGGAAUUAUUGUCAGUCCUCAUAUGCCUCAUGACUAGGACCACUGCUCUCCACACCAUGGUGUUAAUUGUACAGAAAACAGAACUUUUCAAGUUCUGUCUUUUGCUAAAGUGGAAGAAGGAAGCCUUAUGUAAGAUCGCUGUACAGAGCUUAUGACCUUGCCAGGCUUAAAUGUCACAAUCGGGCAGUAAAUGAUUAUUUACCAGUCAGAAUUACUCUGGAAAUAAGUGUUGUUUUAAGGCAUGGACACCUGUCUAUAAGAAUUCAGAGUCUUCUGACAAUGUACAGGAUGGUUUUCACAUUUCAAAACUUCUGAGUUUUGACUUAGUCCUGAAAGGUGGGAUUUGGUUAUGUGUUCCUUUUACAUAUCUUGCAAAGACUUUAGAAACUUGAGUCAAAUUCUACCCUAAAUUUCAAGAUGAAAGCUGCUGGCUAAUUUUCCCCAAGACUGAAAUACAUAUAACUAAGAUAUUUUCCUGUUUUUCUUCCUCUGCCAAUUAGCACCAAUACAGAUGAAAAACCUAAAGAGAAUAUCCAUUUAAGUCCUCAAGAAGACAGCGGCAUACAGCCUCAAACUCUGCAAACAAAUCAGGAAAACAGCAGGUACCUACUGUACAUAUCGAAUUCAUAAUGUUGUCAGGAACUCAAAUACUGAAAAUGAGAACAGGAUUUGCACAUGAUGAUGCUCUAGUUGCAUCACUGGUACCAGGGGAGUUAGAAAGUACUUCAGGAAGUGGAAAGGCCUUGGUGGUUGCUUUUCUUGGGACUCUGGUUGCUUCCAGGGAGUUGGGUGAGGACUCUCAGCGCUGUGCCCAGGCACUGUUUUCACAAAGCUUUCCGCAGGUUUGUGCAGUGAUGCCACGAACCUUUGAGAAGGAAGCUUUCGUUUUCCUUGUGGAACCCACGCAUUUGCCACUUGGGUGUGCCUCCCGGUCCCCCAUUUCCCUUCAAUGUGCAGGGUCACCUCAGGAUCCUGAGGAGACUCUGGACUUCCCCUCCUCUGCUUCCCCACUCUCCCUGAAUUCUCUGCCACAGCUGGCCUCCUGACUGCUCUGUCUUUUCUAUCUGCCCCCCACAGAGGCUUGUCACACCUCAUCCCUGUAUUCCAGGAAUUCAGAUACCAGCUUACUAGCAUAGCUGUUGUCCUGAAUGUUCAGCUGUUUGCUACAGGAUUGGGGUGAAAGGGAAAUUAUACAACCCAAAGUGGCACACAACUUAGAACUGAAUAUUAGAAAUCCUUGAACUAAAAAGUAAUUGUUUUGCAAAUAAAGAUUUACUGGAACACAGUCUCACUCACUGUUAGCCUAUUUAUUGCUUUCUUGCUGUAAUCCUUGGAAUUAUUGUCAGUCCUCAUAUGCAGUUGAAUGGAAGCCACAGAAAGCAAGACUGGGUGGCAUACAGAGGCAAAAUAUUUACUAUCUGGUCCUUAAGAAGAAAAGUGCCAAACCCUGAACUGUGUCAUGUGAUCAGGAUUUUCUCACUGCUUAGUCCUCCUUGUAGGCCUUGGCUUUCCACCCUUUCCCUAGGCCUCUCUCACAUUAGACGCAUGUUAGUUUUGUUAAAAUCUUCAAUGUAUUCUCAGGGUACCUAUUUUGAUUUGGUUUUCUGAUAAAUUCAAAAUGCCAUUUUUCUUUUUCAUGCAGGGCAAUUCGCCCAGUCCUUGUUUAUACUCUGGCUGUGCCCUAGUAUCGUAAAACAUCUAUCCAGUUCCUUGGGACAGGGUCAGAAACACCAGCACCAAAAGCCCAUAAAGGGGAUUAGGUCCACUCCUGUAGAAAGCAGAAGCAAAAGUAUCACAUUUUUAAAUAAACGUCCUCUUUCCCAUAUAUCAAUGUAUGCUAAUUUAAACCUGGUAGUUUAUAUCUACAAACUUGUCAGAAAUCUUAAAUUCAACAAAGGACAGUAGAACAGCUAUGGAAAAAGGUAAUGGGGUAGGAGAGGCAUUUUAUAGUUAAUCAAGAUAGAGGCAUUUCAGAUCUUCUAAGCAAACAUAGAGGGUAUGGUUGACUUUUUCCUAAAUAGAAUGUUUGAAUCCCUAGGUUUAUUAUCUCACUUGUACUCACUUUGCCUUUGUUGAAGAACUUGUUCUUCACAACUGUUUAUGGAAGCAACUGAAAUCCGCAUUGCUUUUUAAAAAUUCAGAAUUGCUAAUUAACUUUUUGAAGCUUUAAUGACCAUCCAGCCUGAUUCUUCUCAAAAGAGUAUUUGCAUAUACCCUAGAAAGCUUGACUCCUAUAUCCAUAGGGUAUAGAAGUCCUGAGAUAAGAAUGACAUGACUCUCAAGGAGUUUUUUUCUAAUGUUAUUCCAAUGGUUUGAAGGGAAAACAGCAUUAUAUUAACACAAAUAAAUACAUAUGGGAACAGAAGUCAAACAAUGUAGGAGAUUUUAAGAUAAAAUAAGACAGAGAAUAUUAUGCGUUCAGGGAUGUUUUGCCUUAUGCUCCAAGGCCCUUGGACUGAUGCAUUUCUUUUACUAUUAUGGAAAAGCUGAGCGAAACUGAUUACAGCCAGCUGUGCUGCCACCAAAUAUAAACACACAAAAUAAACACUGCCCAUUGUGAGGGAAAUGGUUGUCUUUACACAAGUGCAUUUAAAAACAAUACACAAGAGUAUUUAAAAUAUCUUUUGAUUUCUCCUCAGUCCUGCCAGGUUACCUACCUAAACACUUGACCACUUUUCUUCCAAUCAAACUUGCAUUAACCCACCUCACAAUUCAUUCACCCAAGAUUCUCUCCCAAAGUGCUCUGGUCCAAAGUAAUGUCUGUUUUUGGAACUCAUAGCACCUACUGUCUAUGCCAUUUUUAAAAAUAAUUUCUUUUAUAAGUAAUAUGUGCUUUGGAAAAUAGAGAAGAUACAGAAAAUUAUAAAGAAUAGAAAAAUUACCUGUAAUAGCUUCCAUCCAUCUAAUGGCUAGUAUUCUUAGGCUUCAUCACAUACUUUACCGUUACAAGGUUAUACAUUGAAAUGAUAUUGACUGUAUAAUAUUAAAUCUAAUUUGGUAUCCAUCAAAUGACAACCAUUCAUGUAUCAUUAAAAACCAUAUACAAACUUAUAUCCCAAGGUAUUCAAUAUUUCAUUUAUGGUUACCUAUUAGCACUAUUGCAUUCAUUCACUUGCUCAUUCUUCAAACAUUAAUCAAUGUACCAAUACUGUACCAAUGUGUUUUCUUUACCACGCUAAAUUGCUUAUGAGUAAGGACCCCCUUUCAAAUUUCUCCAAUCUCUAAGUAUAGACUUAAUCAAAUGAGAAGAGUACAGUAAAUACUUGAGAAUAAAUUGAUCAGAGUUUCAUAUAUCCUCAACUUUUUUGAAAUGUCCUUUUAUAUCAAGGUAUAUGUCAAAUUGUGUACAUUGACUAUAUCAACUUUUAAUAAAAUGGGAGGAACUCAUUAAUGAAUUAGUUUCCAAUCUCCUCCUAAGACUGGAAUUUUUCCCAAAGAAGAAAGGUUGAUCAUGUGGUAGACCAGAAGUGAGUCACAGUCUGUACCUUGCUUAAGACGUGGGCACCCAAGCCAGGUACAAGGACAGAGAGGGUGAUACAGGUAAAGAGGCAGAUUCCAAAGACACCGCUGCAAGCUGAAGGACGUGAGAACGUUGAAAGAUGAUGCAGGUAACACAUAAUGUUGGGAAGCCUUGUGAGAUAGAAAGAGAACAAUGAUGAGGCAUCAGGUGGCAAGAAUAACAGGGGUGUCAGCUGAGCUGAUGAGCCUCAAGAGGGGUCUGUCCCCUGGCCUUAAGGAAGAGGAGAGGUUCCAGCAGGGCCAGGGAAGGGUCUGGACGUCUUAGACUAUCCAACAUCUUUUUUCAGUCUUGACUGUGUUAGGGAAGCAGGACAUGCUCUCUGAGGCUGACCCUCCUCCAAACUGCCAGCUCCUGUUUACUUUCCCCUGCCAUGACAUGGCUCAGAAACAAGAGGCAGAAAUUUUUUGUGCAUUAUGAGGAAUCUAUAUUUCUGGAACAAGGCUUAACACUGAGAACACGCUUCUUUUGACAAAAAAGGCAAUGAGGAAAGGUCAACUUAUUCCUUAAUCUCUCUCUUACCUACUCAGUGUCUCAAUAUUUUCUUGUGUCCUACCUAGCACCACUAAGGAGGGCAUAAACACUUCUUCUAAACUCAGACUUAUGUGUCAUGCUAGUAAUCAUGAUUUUAAGCAGUAAAUUCGGGGGGGGGGGGGCGUUCACUUGUCACUCAUGCUGUCACCUGAAUAAAAAUAUCCUGUUAUUUCAGUGCCCUUCCCUGAGAAAGUACUCUCACGCUGGAGAACAUCUUGAAUUAAAAUGUUGUUGGAAAGGAGCUAAUUCAACAGAGGAAGAUGUGAAACUCGUAACUUCUUGGAAGUGACCUCACAGAGAUACAAACAUGUGCACCUGAAGAUGCUGAAGUGCUCCCAGGAGCUGGUAAAGGCUCCCCUCCUCUCAGCUUGGAUACUGUCACUCCAUGUGCUCUUUCCUUGUGCGGGAAGCACACGUCAUCUAGUUAGGGGAAAAGUCUGCACCAAGGCUAUAUAGACUCAAUCACUUAAAAGAAGAAGGUGUCACUUAGGAUUUCUGUUUACAAGUCUGUUCAUCACCUUUCUUAUUUUCAAAUGCUCAUGCUAUAAAAUGGGCUCGUAACAAGAAUAUCAAAAUCCAGGAUGAAGAUAUGAAAAACAAAUAAGUCACGUACAAUACUACUCAGUGAUAACUGCUGUCAAUAUUUGAUUCAUUUUCUGCUAACCUUUCUUCAUAGAUGUUUAUUUUUUUAUACACAGGUCUUUCUUACUUUUUCUGUAGAGCAAAAUCUCCUAUUAGAUCAGAGUAAAAUCUAGCUAGAUCAGUUUUUAUGUUCUUUAGGGAAAGAAGUAUUUUCUGUUGAUUACAAAGGCAGUAUGGGCAGCCUCGGUGGCUCAGCGGUGUAGUGCCGCCUUUAGCACAGGGUCUGAUCCUGGAGACCUGGGAUCCAACCCGCGUCGGGCUCCCUGCAUGGAACCUGCUUAUAUCUCUGCCUCUCUCUCACUGUCUCUCAUGAAUGAAUAAAUAAAAUCUUAAAAAAAAAAAAAAAGGCAUUAAGUGAAUCUGGGAGAGAGGUUUUCAGGAGAAACAUUUUAAACAAUGAGCUUUGGAUAUUUCCUAAGCUCUAUUUCAAAAUCAAUUUGAACUAUGUUCCAUAUAAAAAAUACUAUUUUAAAUAAAAGAAGUUUCAUUAUAAAAGGAAGGGACUUAGUUGUGUGUAGACUCAGAACACAUCAAUAAAUUAAGAAACCAUGACUUUUAAGAAUUGCAAAAUUAACAUACAAGUAAGUAUAGAACUAAGUGGCCCUGGAUUCCCACACUGGUUCACAUACUUACAGAUCAAAAAUUUAUUUAGUAUGAUAUCAUGGGUCGUGCUAAUGAUCUAGAGAAUAUCAGAGCCCUUCUGGAUAUUUAACAAUAGGUUUGCAUAUGACUACUGCUAACCACUGUACAAUUUGGGUUUAGGUGGCUUUUAGAGUCUAGUCUGUCACACUUACCUUGAAAACAUACAGAAUGAACUGCACAUCAACUUGAAGUUUUCUUUAAAAUCAGGAAGAUAGAAAAAAACAGGAGCAGCAAAGUCAACUGACAAACUAGGAGGAAAAAAUUACAACUUGUAUCACAGACAAGCAUAACUGGCAUAUUUGGAGAGUUAAAAGUUUAAAGGCCAACCCUCCCCACCCUACUUGCCUUAAAUAGACAAAGGACAUACCGCCAAGCCACCAAGAGAGAGGCAGGUCACCCAUGAAUAUAUGAAAAGAUUCUCAAUGGUUUUGCUUGUUGAAACUUAGGGAAAUCUAGUAGGUCUUGAGUGUCUGAAGAAGUACACUUUAAAGGAGGGCUAGAAAUUAACUGCUGGCAAUUGGACUUUCUUAGAAUUAAAAUUCCCUAUCACAAGAAAAAAAUAUAGGUUCCUCUUUCUUCCCAGAAUGCAGUAGGUCAGUGAGUACUGUGAUUAACUGGUAUCUGAUGCCUGGGAAUUGAAUUUAAAGAAAUUCAUGAGAUUCUUUGGUCUGUGACAUCAGUGAUACAUGGGAACUGCUGUAUAUACUAACACAGGCAAAAUACUGAAUUGCCUACUUUCAUUUGUGUCGCUGAGCAAUUCUGUUAGCCUCUGGCCUUCCAUUUUUCAUCUGAACGUAGGGCUGGACCAACUAGUCUCCAAAGCUAUUAUUACUGCUAACAAUCUAACUUUUCUUCUGGUUUCCUUUUUGUAUACUUUACACGUAAGUGUGACGUAAUUUCAAGUCUAUGCCGUUUAAAUAAAAUGUUCUGUGUCCACUUGUAUAACAGGGAAGGAAUAAAAGAUUUUUUUUCUUUCUAAAUCUAUGCCGGUAUAUGGUUUGUAAUGUGUUUACUUUUUGAAGCCUUUCAAAGCCAAGCGGAAACAAAAUGUUCCUUCG
rnacentral:lncRNA from 1 species